AGAGUUUGAUCAUGGCUCAGAGCGAACGCUGGCGGCAGGCCUAACACAUGCAAGUCGAACGGAUCCUUCGGGAUUAGUGGCGGACGGGUGAGUAACACGUGGGAACGUGCCCUUUGGUUCGGAACAACUCAGGGAAACUUGAGCUAAUACCGGAUAAGCCCUACGGGGGAAAGAUUUAUCGCCAUUGGAGCGGCCCGCGUCUGAUUAGCUAGUUGGUGAGGUAAAGGCUCACCAAGGCUACGAUCAGUAGCUGGUCUGAGAGGAUGAUCAGCCACAUUGGGACUGAGACACGGCCCAAACUCCUACGGGAGGCAGCAGUGGGGAAUCUUGCGCAAUGGGCGAAAGCCUGACGCAGCCAUGCCGCGUGAAUGAUGAAGGUCUUAGGAUUGUAAAAUUCUUUCAGCAGGGACGAUAAUGACGGUACCUGCAGAAGAAGCCCCGGCUAACUUCGUGCCAGCAGCCGCGGUAAUACGAAGGGGGCUAGCGUUGCUCGGAAUUACUGGGCGUAAAGGGCGCGUAGGCGGGUCGUUUAGUUAGAGGUGAAAGCCCAGGGCUCAACCCCGGAAUUGCCUUUAAUACUGGCGGCCUUGAGUAUGGCAGAGGUGUGUGGAACUCCGAGUGUAGAGGUGAAAUUCGUAGAUAUUCGGAAGAACACCAGUGGCGAAGGCGACACACUGGGCCAUUACUGACGCUGAGGCGCGAAAGCGUGGGGAGCAAACAGGAUUAGAUACCCUAGUAGUCC
rnacentral:rRNA from 1 species